rnacentral:rRNA from 1 species
AUUGAACGCUGGCGGCAGGCCUAACACAUGCAAGUCGGGCGGUAGAGAGAAGCUUGCUUCUCUUGAGAGCGGCGGACGGGUGAGUAAUGCCUAGGAAUCUGCCUGGUAGUGGGGGAUAACGUUCGGAAACGGACGCUAAUACCGCAUACGUCCUACGGGAGAAAGCAGGGGACCUUCGGGCCUUGCGCUAUCAGAUGAGCCUAGGUCGGAUUAGCUAGUUGGUGAGGUAAUGGCUCACCAAGGCGACGAUCCGUAACUGGUCUGAGAGGAUGAUCAGUCACACUGGAACUGAGACACGGUCCAGACUCCUACGGGAGGCAGCAGUGGGGAAUAUUGGACAAUGGGCGAAAGCCUGAUCCAGCCAUGCCGCGUGUGUGAAGAAGGUCUUCGGAUUGUAAAGCACUUUAAGUUGGGAGGAAGGGUUGUAGAUUAAUACUCUGCAAUUUUGACGUUACCGACAGAAUAAGCACCGGCUAACUCUGUGCCAGCAGCCGCGGUAAUACAGAGGGUGCAAGCGUUAAUCGGAAUUACUGGGCGUAAAGCGCGCGUAGGUGGUUUGUUAAGUUGGAUGUGAAAUCCCCGGGCUCAACCUGGGAACUGCAUUCAAAACUGACUGACUAGAGUAUGGUAGAGGGUGGUGGGAUUUCCUGUGUAGCGGUGAAAUGCGUAGAUAUAGGAAGGAACACCAGUGGCGAAGGCGACCACCUGGACUAAUACUGACACUGAGGUGCGAAAGCGUGGGGGAGCAAACAGG